CCAAAUUCAUCGAUCACGCCAUUUACGCCCCCCCCCUUACACUACCUUAGACGGUCUUUUAUGUGUGUAUAAAAGAACGGCCGUGUGGUCAAAUCCGACAUAACACAUUUUUUGUGCAGCUUUAUUCUUUGUUUUCCACAUAACUACUCAAAAACCAACCAAAAACCAAAAAUGGGCGCUGAAAAGGUAUCCAUGAACAUCGUUGUCGUCGGACAAGUCCAAUCUGCCAAGGCCAUCAAAUCGGUCGCCAAAGCCACCCCAGCCACCAGCCAAUUGAUGAACUGUUAAUUUUGUCAAGUCUCCAUAAACCUCAAAAUCAAAAAUGCCAUAGUCCAAAACUUCAAACAGUACAUAGUAAAAAUGUGUAAUCAUAUAUUUAUUACGUAUUGACAUCGCAAAAUAAAUCUGUCUUUCCGUCGUUUAA